rnacentral:rRNA from 1 species
UACGGAGGGAGCUAGCGUUGUUCGGAAUUACUGGGCGUAAAGCGCACGUAGGUGGCUUUGUAAGUUAGAGGUGAAAGCCCGGAGCUCAACUCCGGAACUGCCUUUAAGACUGCAUCGCUUGAAUCCAGGAGAGGUGAGUGGAAUUCCGAGUGUAGAGGUGAAAUUCGUAGAUAUUCGGAAGAACACCAGUGGCGAAGGCGGCUCACUGGACUGGUAUUGACGCUGAGGUGCGAAAGCGUGGGGAGCAAACAGG